AGAGAGAGACAUGCGUGCAUAUCAAUAAGCGGAGGAAAAGAAACUAACAAGGAUUCCCCUAGUAACGGCGAGUGAAGCGGGAAGAGCUCAAAUUUGAAAUCUUAAAGGGUUUCCCUUUACGAAUUGUAGUUUAAAGAAGUGUUUUCUGUUGAGGUUUUGGUAAAAGUUCUUUGGAAUAGGACAUCAUAGAGGGUGAGAAUCCCGUAUUUGACCAUUUACUUUCAGCUUUGUGAUACACUUUCAAAGAGUCGGAUUGUUUGGGAAUGCAGUCCAAAAUGGGUGGUAAAUUUCAUCUAGAGCUAAAUAUUGGCGAGAGACCGAUAGCGAACAAGUACCGUGAGGGAAAGAUGAAAAGAACUUUGAAAAGAGAGUUAAACAGUACGUGAAAUUGUCAAAAGGGAAGCGUUUGACACCAGUGUUGUUUUUCUGAAAAUCAAUUAAAGAACUGUUUAUGCUAAGCUGUUUAGACUUUAUCAGGCUAACUGUUUAGUUUUGAGCUUUUCUUUAAUGCAGCUUUUCAGUUAACAAGUCAACAUCAAUUUCUUUUGCUGUAAAAAAGCUUGAGGAAGGUGGCUUGAGAUUCGUCUUAAGUGUUUAUAGCCUCUUGCCUAUGCAGUCGGAGAGAUUGAGGUCUGCAGCGUAGAUCCUUCGGGGCUAAAUGCAUUUGUGCUAAGUUAUAGCAUUUUAUAGACAACUUGUUGACUAUGAUUUGUCUUGUAGCUUACUCGCUUAUGUUAUUUUACCUACGCUUAGGAUGUUGAGCGCAUGUCUCUCUCU
rnacentral:rRNA from 1 species